AUGUGCUCGCCUCAGCAACAUAUAUACUAAAAUCGGAACGAUACAGAGAUUAGCACGACCCCCGUGCAAGGAUGAAAUCACUCAGUAUGUGAGGGUUUAUAAAAUAUG